rnacentral:rRNA from 1 species
UACGGGGGGGGCAAGCGUUGUUCGGAAUUACUGGGCGUAAAGGGCUCGUAGGCGGCCAACUAAGUCGGAUGUGAAAUCCCCAGGCUUAACCUGGGAACUGCAUCCGAUACUGGAUGGCUUGAAUCCGGGAGAGGGAUGCAGAAUUCCAGGUGUAGCGGUGAAAUGCGUAGAGAUCGUAAGGAAGACCAGUGGCGAAGGCGGGUCUCUGGACAGUUCCUGACACUGAGGCACGAAGGCCAGGGGAGCAAACGGG